rnacentral:tRNA from 1 species
GUCUGGAUGGUCUAGUAAGUUGUUUUCAUACAGUCUUUACGACAACUUUCUAACGAUUUAUAGGUUGGUUAUGACGUCGGUCUCAUAAUCCGAAGGUCGCGAGUUCGAUUCUCGCUCUGGACA